UCUGGUAUUCCCAGGAAAUUCAUGGCUGUGACAUAACUCUGUCAAAAGCAAACUCAUAUUAGUAGCUGAUAUUUAGUUGUAGAGAAAGAGGUAUAAGACUGCAAUUUAAGAAUAUCCCUUCUGUCAUUUGGCAUUUCUAUUUUCUUUUAUGACAAUCUCCUGCUAAUGUUCAGUCAUCUGCAAAGAGACACCCCAUUGCUUUCAGCUAUCCAAGGACUUCAUCUCUUUGUUGAAAAGACUGAUUAAAACAUGGUACCUUUCCUCCAUAUCUCUAAAGAACAUUGGAGUGCUGCAUGCAGAUGCAAGGACCCAGCACUUCAUGACCAGCUGCAGGAUCUUAGCAACGCACUUCAAGUAAAAUUUAUGAAAAAGUUCAUUCAUAUCCCAUGAUCUAGCAUACAGAAGACUUUUUAAAGUCAGUAUUUUGCUUCUUUCCAUUAAAAUAAUCUUAAAUAGGAGCUCUUCCAUCAUCCCAAAAUAGAAAUUCAACAAUACUUCAGCUCACUCCAAACCAUCUGUUUACACUCAUUUCUAUGACAAACUUCUUAGUGAUUUGCAUUUUGCCCAGGCUGUCAGUUUAGCCUUUGCCAAUUUUAAAUAACAUCCCACAAUUGUGGUAGUUCUUUUCAGUCAUAGUGAUAGAAUACAUUUUAAACAAAAGAAGGAAUGGCUCAAGAUAACUGUAUAGAUAUGUGAAAGUAAGCUAAAAAUUAUGUAGAAAACAAGCAGUGCAACAAAAUGUUAUUUGACACGUCUUUAAAAUUUGUACCAUGAACAAUAUAUGGAUUAUACAAUGCAUAUAUAGAUACUUAUUUGUAAUACAGUUUUGCCAUGUAAAAUAUGCAUGCCCGCAACAUGGAUUUAUAAUUUUUCAUGGCUUAUUAGUAAAAGUGCUUCAUUAAAAUUGUGACCAAGACAUGACUCUGAGUUGAUCACCAUCUAAUAAUAGAUUAAAAUG